rnacentral:lncRNA from 1 species
AAAAAAUACUGAUGGAAAGAAUGACUUGAUUGAUAGAAUAUAGAUAAGACAAAUAGAUAUAUGUUUCCGAGAAAACAGAGAAAAAAAAACCCAUUCAUCGUGAAAUCAAUACAAAUUGAACUUAAGAUACACAAUUAAGCAAAGACACACUAAUUUAUUCACAAAACAAUGCAAACAAUUUAACAAUUCUUUAUUAACAGA